AGAUGCCAUUGCCAAAGAAAUGUACGAAUGCUAGAACAAUCAAACUUUCCCACGGGAAAAGAGACCAUCAAAUUUGUAUACUGAUAAGGGCUUCAGAAAUUUACCAACUUCUGUAGCCAAAACUGGCAUGUCAUUGACAGGGGAUACAGGAGCUAAAAAUACGCCAAAGACCUUCAAGUUAUCUGCCUGUCGGCCAGAACUGGAUUUAUUAUACCGAUAUGCGGAGAGAUCACCAAGUUGCACGGAAAGAAAAUCGCCGAAUAAAACGGAAGCAAAGUCAAAUAGCCAGGCAAUACUGAUAACAGUGCUUUGUGAAACUCGUUCAUCGUCAUCGGAAGAACGAGAAACUUGGCGAAAAUAUACCUUCCGCUCACAUCUCGAUCGGG